CACCGCGGUUAUACGAGAGGCCCAAGUUGACAAACACCGGCGUAAAGAGUGGUUAAUAAAACAUAAACUAAGGCUGAACACCUUCAAAGCCGUCAUACGCUCCCGAAGGCAGGAAGUCCUCCAACGAAAGUGGCCUUAACAAAUUAUGAACCCACGAAAGCUAGGACA
rnacentral:rRNA from 1 species